ensembl:snoRNA SNORA62 Small nucleolar RNA SNORA62/SNORA6 family
CAUUCACAUUGUUAGAACUUGGAGUGGAGGCCACUGGCUGGCUUACGAACUCACAAUUGUAUGUAGUAUGCUACAUGAGGGGCGAAUCUUUUUUUCACUAACACCACAAGGGUCUGUGGCUCAAUGAGUGGAGUUAGAUAGUAAUUCUCAUUAUAAGA